UCCCUGGAAAGGGGCGCC
rnacentral:snRNA from 1 species